rnacentral:lncRNA from 10 species
CUGAAAUCUGUCUCCAGGUGACUUCUGCUCCCAGGUGACUUCUGCUCCCAGGUGACUUCUACCUAUGGGUUGUUGCUCUGACCUUGGACCUACAUAGAAUAAGCUACCCCUGAGCUUCCUCCAGGUCUGGACACGUGAGCAGCCAUCUCAUCAGAGUGGAGAAUGAAACUUGACACACAGAGUGAGUGCCUAUCACUAUCUAAGCUUCCAGGUAAAAUAUGCAGCAAAAACCUUGGUCCAGAUAAUCACCACGUUCUGAAGAUGAAAAAUAACAGCUGUCUUUGGUACUCAUUUGCUUGUAAAAACUUUUCUCUAAGAAAAUCUUGUGAAGUCCUAUACGUUUGAAAUGUACUUGUUCCAUGAUCUUUGAAAUAAAUGCUUAAGAACCAUGAA